CAGGCCACGAAUCAAAACGGACACUCGUUUGGAAGGAAGAUUGCUACGAACCGUACUUAAAAGCAGCUCAAAAGAAAAAGAACUUUAUAGAAUCAAAUUGUGUUGGAUACGAAGACACGGUACUUGCAAAAAAUAGCGUGCAUUAGAAAUGUGGACCCGUAUGAAAUAACGGCAGUGGAGCAGAAACCCGAAGACCAACCGGUAUUGACGUAGCCUGAUAUAUUUUCGUACCUGUGGGGUCAGCGCAUAAACGGCGUACCGGUUUCGCAAUUAUAAAUCUCUGGAGGCGCACAUCCGACUAACCAAUGGUUGGGUACAGGAUUUGGCUAUUUUUAGACUCCACGUUGUGAAUACGUCCUCAUUCAAACAAAGGGGUUGGAACCAGCUAUUAAAAUGGUCAUCACCAGACCAAGGCUCAAUCGAGUCAUGGAAGGAGGAAUCAGAUGACUUUCACAGUGCCUCAUUUUACCCUCAUAUUAUUAUGUGAGGCAUUUAACAGAAAUAAACUGCACAACGACUUGGCUGGUGACCCACUUCACAUCUCCUUGCUAAACACUGGAGAAUCAUGCAAAGACUUUGAUGUAACAGACUGACCUAUAACAGCAACCGUGGGCAUCAGUGAUGAGAAGACCUGUGUUGAGACAGCAUUGUGAGUACAGGCUGGACCCCACAGAGUGUGUGCAUGUCUGCAGUGAGGAUGAACUCUUCCACCUUGAAAGUACAGACGACAUGGCAAAUAAGAUUGAGACAGCAACAGGAGAACAGGCAGCUGACCAGGAAUGGCAUCAGCUCCACAGGCCAAGAUUACAUCUUCAUAUUUAAGAGGUUUGUUAUAUAAAGGGCGUGAAACUGUGCAGAGAGAAUCCUCAAAGGAACGUGACAGACUGCAGAUGUGAGCACAGGGACAGACAUGGAGUUUAACGCAGCUGGAGAAAACUGCAAAUUGAAAAACUAACGAUAGGCCUCAUGGCCUCGUUGUCCACCCUGACGCUCCCUGGCUUGGUUCCUCACCAGAUGGGUUGAUCUUUGAUCCAUCUGCACUGCCACCGUUUGGACUGCUUGAGAUAAGGUGUCUUUAUGUGAGGAAUUAUGUUCACUUCAGAUACCUUCAACUAAGAAUGGCACCCUGUCUCUCUGUAAAAGUCAGUUGUACCGAUUAUGUUGACACAAAGUUAACAGCAACAUCAGAGAGAGCGUGGACUGGUGUUACUUUCGUGUUCACACGCUGAUGCACUUCUCUCUUACAGUUUUUUCUGAAUGCUUAAACCCUAACUGUGAUUCUUAUAGCACAAUUUCUAAAACUAUUAAUACUUAUAGCAAAACCAUUCGCUGAGUUUGCAA